rnacentral:ncRNA from 1 species
GCCGUGACUCCACUUGAUCGCGCCGGAGCGGGAAAGAAAGGAUGGGUACCCCCGUAGGCUCAACGGCGCGGCAGUGUGGAGACCUGCCGUGAAAGCGGCCCGGGCGUUGCCCGGCCGUGAGGCGGUCCGCGCGGAGGCGGGGCCGUCAGAGCAGCGCGCAUGGCA